rnacentral:misc_RNA from 1 species
AGCAGCCGCGGUAAUUCCAGCUCCAAUAGCGUAUAUUAAAGUUGUUGCAGUUAAAAAGCUCGUAGUUGAAUUUCGGGAUCAAUAUGUUGGUCGUGCCUUGGUACGUACUGGCAUUAUUGGUUUCUACCUUCUGAAGAACCUCGAUGUCAUUAAUUUGGUGUCUUGGGGAAUCAGGACUGUUACUUUGAAAAAUUAGAGUGUUUAAAGCAGGCUCGCGCUUGAAUACAUUAGCAUGGAAUAAUGAAAUAGGACGUUUGAUUCUAUUUUGUUGGUUUCUAGGAUUGACGUAAUGAUUAAUAGGGAUAGUUGGGGGCAUUAGUAUUCAAUUGUCAGAGGUGAAAUUCUUGGAUUUAUUGAAGACUAACUACUGCGAAAGCAUUUGCCAAGGAUGUUUUCAUUAAUCAAGAACGAAAGUUAGGGGAUCGAAGACGAUCAGAUACCGUCGUAGUCUUAACCAUAAACUAUGCCGACUAGGGAUCGGAUGAUGUUAAUUUUUAAUGACUCAUUCGGCGCCUUAACC